GACGAACCGUACGAACGUUAUUCGGAAUUACUGGGCUUAAAGGGUGCGUAGGCUGUGCGGAAAGUUGGGCGUGAAAUACCUCAGCUUAACUGAGGAACUGCGUUCAAAACUACCGUGCUCGAGGGAGACAGAGGUAAGCGGAACUGAGGGUGGAGCGGUGAAAUGCGUUGAUAUCCUCAGGAACACCGGUGGCGAAAGCGGCUUACUGGGUCUCUUCUGACGCUGAUGCACGAAAGCUAGGGUAGCAAACGGG
rnacentral:rRNA from 2 species